rnacentral:rRNA from 1 species
UACGGGGGGAGCAAGCGUUGUUCGGAUUUACUGGGCGUAAAGGGCGCGUAGGCGGUCAGCACAAGUCAGUUGUGAAAUCUCCGGGCUUAACUCGGAAAGGUCAACUGAUACUGUGCGACUAGAGUGCGGAAGGGGCAACUGGAAUUCUCGGUGUAGCGGUGAAAUGCGUAGAUAUCGAGAGGAACACCUGCGGCGAAGGCGGUUCUCUGGGCCUGUACUGACGCUGAGGAGCGAAAGCGUGGGGAGCGAACAGG